UACGGAGGAUGCAAGCGUUAUCCGGAUUUAUUGGGUUUAAAGGGUGCGCAGGCGGGGGAUUAAGUCGGCGGUGAAAUUUUGCAGCUCAACUGUAAAAGUGCCUUCGAAACUGGUUUCCUUGAGUGUAGAUGAAGUAGGCGGAAUUUGUGGUGUAGCGGUGAAAUGCAUAGAUAUCACGAAGAACUCCGAUUGCGCAGGCAGCUUACUAAACUACUACUGACGCUCAGGCACGAAGGCGUGGGGAUCAAACAGGAUUAGAUACCCGCGUA
rnacentral:rRNA from 1 species